GGCAAUCAACUUCCACCAUCCAUCCAUUGAAUCUUUAAUAAUCGAGUGAUUAUGAAUGAGCUGUCUUCCAAAAUCCAUCAAAAGGAACAUGUUUUUACUCCCUGGAAUAACACCAGUUGUUCAGGACGCAUUCACUUGACAAGCCCUAUACUUCGCUUCCUACUUGCCUGACAUAAUUCCCAAGCUAUCUUCUAGUCACCCUAAACACUUCCCCAUCACAGCCGCACAUUGCAAGUUUGCCUCUUCAGUUAGUCUGUUCUUGUCAUUGUUCCGAGGUGGAAACCAUGAGAGAACGUUCAAUCCGCCUUGUGGUAAGCGCAAUGAACCGGAUUUUCGACCUCUUCGAAAGCAGAUUUCCUGAGAAGGCUGGUUCCGUAGAAGCCGGCUCCGUUGGGGCUGCGUCCACUCCGCCACCAACCUACUUGGUCGCGAUGGCACGAGAGGCUCAAGGCGAGACAUUGGAGACCCGGGUCUCGAAUCUUUACGACCUGUUGGUCCUUAGACAUUCUGAGGGUGCCUUCACAGAACAACAAGUACGCCUAGCAGUUGCUGCCCAACUCGGCGUUACGACCGAAGUUGAGGCCAAUGAUUCUUCUAGAGCUGAAACACCAGAGCAUCUUGGAUGCUUCUCAAACCCAUGUUUGGAAUGCCUGCCCCGUCAAUGAUCUAGUAUUGUUUUGCAUAUAAAGAUAUUCCCAAUUUCA